rnacentral:rRNA from 1 species
GACGAACGCUGGCGGCGUGCUUAACACAUGCAAGUCGAACGGUGAAGCGCCUUCCUUUUUGGUGGGUGUGGAUGAGUGGCGAACGGGUGAGUAACACGUGAGUAACCUGCCCCCUUCUUCUGGAUAACCGCAUGAAAGUGUGGCUAAUACGGGAUAUUCUGGGUCUGUCGCAUGAUGGGUCUGGGAAAGAUAUUGUUUCGGUGGGGGAUGGGCUCGCGGCCUAUCAGCUUGUUGGUGGGGUGAUGGCCUACCAAGGCGGUGACGGGUAGCCGGCCUGAGAGGGUGGACGGACACACUGGGACUGAGACACGGCCCAGACUCCUACGGGGGGCAGCAGUGGGGAAUAUUGCACAAUGGGCGCAAGCCUGAUGCAGCGACGCCGCGUGAGGGAUGGAGGCCUUCGGGUUGUGAACCUCUUUCGCCAGUGAAGCAGGCCUGCCUCGUUUGUGGGUGGGUUGACGGUAGCUGGAGAAGAAGCGCCGGCUAACUACGUG